AUGCUAGACCAGGCUGCCCAGGGCCCCAUCCAACCUGGCCUUGAACACCUCCAGGGAUUGGGGCAUCCACAACCUCUCUGGAUCGUCUUUUAUGAAUACUGCACCGCUGUUUUAAGAAAAGACAAAUACAAGGAGGGAAAAAACAGAACCUCUGCGAUUCUUCUUUUUCCCUACGAAGUGUUAUGGGUGAAGGCUGUGGAGAAUCGUGGGUUUCCCCAGUUCAGACUUGAACCUCCCACCAAUUAUGUGACCUUCAGGCUAUGGGUCUGAUUCAGUCAUAGCCUCAAACAAAUGUCAGCACCUUUACUGGGAAACGUAGCAACCAGUGGAUUAGACAAACAAGAGGGCUGGAAAUGGGUCUGCGUCAAGUCUUACCAUGUACCUUGUGGAGUGACAUCUGGAGAUGGUAGAGGUAAGAGAACUACUGCAGAACGGGCAGAAAAUGAUGUAUCUUGGGUGUCUGUAGCUCAGGUUGUAUUGGGGGGCAGUCAAGCCUUGUAGUUAUGGGGAUUUGCCAUGGAUCUGGAGGUGUGUGGGCUCAUGUUGUGGCAGAGGGCUGGUAGGCCAAUGUUUAAUGGGGAGGCAGCUGCAGCCCCUUAUGUAUUAUUUAUUACUGCUUUUGGGUACGGAUGGUCCCAAAUCAAGCAGUGCCUCCAGACUGCAGGGGUGUUAGAACUGGGUCCAAGUGUUUCUUACUGUCCUUCCCUUCAAAAUGAAAGUUCAACAGCUG
rnacentral:lncRNA from 1 species